GUGCUCACUUCAGCAGUACAUAUACUAAAAUUUGGAAUUAUACAGAGAAGAUUAGACUGGAUCCUGCACGAGGAUGACACACAAAUUCAUGAAGCACUCUAUAUUUUU